rnacentral:rRNA from 1 species
CGAGGAUCCUAGUAAGCGCAAGUCAUCAGCUUGCGUUGAUUACGUCCCUGCCCUUUGUACACACCGCCCGUCGCUACUACCGAUUGAAUGGCUCAGUGAGGCUUUCGGACUGAUCUAAGGGAGGAGGCAACUCUUCCCCCUGGUCGGAAAGUUAUCCAAACUCGGUCAUUUAGAGGAAGUAAAAGUCGUAACAAGGUCUCCGUUGGUGAACCAGCGGAGGGAUCAUUACUGAGUUUACGCUCUACAACCCUUUGUGAACAUACCUAUAACUGUUGCUUCGGCGGGUAGGGUCUCCGCGACCCUCCCGGCCUCCCGCCCCCGGGCGGGUCGGCGCCCGCCGGAGGAUGACCAAACUCUGAUUUAACGACGUUUCUUCUGAGUGGUACAAGCAAAUAAUCAAAACUUUUAACAACGGAUCUCUUGGUUCUGGCAUCGAUGAAGAACGCAGCGAAAUGCGAUAAGUAAUGUGAAUUGCAGAAUUCAGUGAAUCAUCGAAUCUUUGAACGCACAUUGCGCCCGCCAGCAUUCUGGCGGGCAUGCCUGUUCGAGCGUCAUUUCAACCCUCAAGCUCUGCUUGGUGUAAGGGCCCUACAGCCGAUGUAGGCCCUCAAAGGUAGUGGCGGACCCUCCCGGAGCCUCCUUUGCGUAGUAACUUUACGUCUCGCACUGGGAUCCGGAGGGACUCUUGCCGUAAAACCCCCCAAUUUACCAAAGGUUGACCUCGGAUCAGGUAGGAAUACGCGCUGAACUUAAGCAUAUCAUAA